rnacentral:tRNA from 1 species
GCUGUCGUAGUCGUGUGGUUAUGGUGCAAGCGCGCUCUGAAAACGUUUUUGUUCUUGGGCAUGGGUUCAAAUCCCGUCGGUGGCA